rnacentral:rRNA from 1 species
UACGUUCCCGGACCUUGUACACACCGCCCGUCAAGCCAUGGAAGCCGGAGUACCUGAAGACGGUGACUUACUGGAGCUGUCCUAAGGUAAAACUGGUGACUGGGGCU